UGCUCACAGUCACCAUCUGAGGAAUGACGGGGGCAAAGGUAGGGUGCUGAGGCCGUCUGGCUUUGUCCUUCCUCAGCAGGGAGCCUCUUCCAGGAAUCUCCCCCUCCCCCGGGCUGGGCCUGCUGGUGAUACCGCGUAUACCUGCAUAGCUGUCCACACGGACACCUGCAGCUUGUCCUUCUGCACAGUGGACGCUGGCCUGAGCUCCAGGCCUGGGCAUCACUGUUUGUCCCAAGGCUGGGGACGCUGCAAUUGGAGCAGGUCUCACAGGUGAGGUCACUGCUUGCCUCGGGUCUGCCAGCUCCUAAGGAGGCAUCCUCCAACACCUUGUUUGCCCUCCCAGCCCUGGCAGAGGCGGUUCUGUGCACAGCCUGUGAAGAAGACAGCUACCAAUCGGCACUCCCCGGCACCCUGGGAGGCUGCUGGCCUGCACCUGGUGGACAGGGGUCUUCCUCGACUCCCCCCACCCCCAAGGAGCUCCUGCCCAUUUGAGAAGACCAACCCAGCCUGCUGAGUCCAGGGGAGGGGCAGAGCUGGGAGAGAACUGUGCCGAGAUUUAUGGGCAAUAAAGGAACAUCCAUCUCAGGGCGGGAAGAGGAGCGGCAGCCGGGCAGCCCCCUCCUCACACCAGAGCACUCCAGUUGCAUUAAUGAUGCCGCCAAGGCUUUGCAGAGCUGCUGACAAAGGAGAGAAGAAAACAUGGACAAUUAGAGAAGGAUGAAGACCUCGCAGGGCGAACUCUGCACGCAGCUGCCAGCCAGGCCACCCUGUGGGGGUCCGGGGACACCGAACCGAGCCAGCGAUCUGGGGCCCGGGCCCGGGGCAAGGCCCGGCUACUGUCUGAUGGUGGCCUCACAAUUAUUUUUGAAAAAUGAUGGAGGAGGGAGGGGAGGGGAGGGCAGAGAUAAGAGGGCGGAACUUGUGCCCCGGCCGAGCUGUGGGUUUCUGGGCGGCCGUUGGCACACUGCUAGGCAGAGGGCGUAAGAGGUUUGGGCCGCAGGGGCUCAGGGACUCUGCUUAGGUGCCCUCCCUGGGGCUGCGGCUUCAUCUUGAGGCUUCCUGGCCAGCCCUCCCCGGCUCCCAUGCCGUCCUCUCUGCCCAUCUUGCUGCUGUUACCUGUCAGCCUGGUUACGGCUGCACCCUCCCUCUGCUUCCUCUAACUAGCGUGUAAGCUUGUGGUCUGUCCGUCUGUCCACCUGCCGUCUGUUCCAUUGACUAGCCCUUCCCUGUUUCUCCCUCAAAGGCUCUGCUCCCACAGAGUGGCCUUGGCCUUCAUGCCACCUCAUCCCCAGCCAGUACCUUCCAGGACCCUGUCUUUCCCAGUUCCACACAAGAAACCCUCCAGCCUGUGGAGGGACAAGUUGGCCAUAAGUCCCCGACCACAGCGGGGACUCCAGCUGGGGAGUUGAACUCUGGUCCCUCCGCCACCCUCCAGAAAGCCUAUAAGGGUGGCUCCUUGGGCCCCUCUUGACCCCACUGCUGGGUUGGCAUCUGAAUGAGGUCCAUGGAUGGUGCCGCUCCCCCUGCCCGGUGAGUCAGGGCAGCUGCACUUGGGGGGUGGACGAGAGAAGAAGUUGCCCACAGCCCACUCCCCGAACUCAGGCCAGCAGCUGACUGCGGCUUCAGCACCUCUGUGGGGUUACUCUGUACAGGCUAAUCUCAGGGAGCAAACACCUUCAAUUCAGCACUACCCAGAGGAGUGGGCCACGCCUAGUGUACCUGCCACUUACCACUGAGGCAGCCUGGCACCUCGGCCAGCUCGGAGGAGUCAAUGCAAAUACCACCCGGAGUCACCAUCCUGCUCCACCAAGUACAGGUACAGCACCCCGCCCCCAUCCCGCAGAAGGACAGAAACACAGCUGGCUCAGAGGCCACAGGGACAGACAGACAACUGUGAGGGGAAGCAGACUAGCAAAGCUCCUUCCCUGGAGUUGCUGCACUUAGCAGACACAGACCCCCAUCCUCCCCCCAGGCUGGUAAAGUGAGGGCUGCCCUACUCCAGUCUCGGUUCUGUGAGAACUGAACCUGAAGGCAAGGCUCACCGGGCCAGGGUGCUGGGACCGGGUAGUCUUCAUGUCCAGGCCAGCACUGGAUCAGGCAGAGAGCACCUUCUGCGUUCUAGGGAGCAAAUGGUGAGCCAUUCACUCUCAGCCCCAUGGGCCUUUGGUGAGGGAAACGGCGCAAGGCCUGCCCGUAAAGCAGGUCGAAAGGCAGGAUCCUGCGUGCUCAUGGCUCAGGGUCUGGGGUCCCGGAUUUCUCUGUCCAGGAACUGUGCCAGACUGCCAAGAAGCUGUGCCAGCCAUCACAGCACAGCUAUGAUGUGCUUCCUGCCUCCCACCGGCCCUGGCUCACCAUAUAUGAAGCAGGAGUGGUUCAGAGAUGCAGGACUUGCCUUACAAAGCCAAUGGAAGCAGUGAUACUAAUGAGGACGUCUCGCGGGGGCUGGGGACAGGGCUGCGUCAACUCUGGGGGAGAGGACAACCUGAGGCUGGCCAGUAUGAAGAGGAGUGACGGGACACGGGCCCAGAGACCCUGACCCUGGCACCCUGGUCCCUGGCACCGCCCUGCUGACCAUGAGAGUGAACGGAGCUUUGUGAGGCCCAAACAGGAAACGGGGCCACGGCCCCACUUGUCAGUUCCACAGCUUUGGGUGGACAAAGCCAGGGUGGGGGUGCCUAGAACCACCUGGAAGGUUCCACCCAUCCUUACCAGUGCCAUCUUGUCUUCCAUGUCCUCCUGCUUGGCUGUCCCCCACUACAGGGACCCCAAGCAUUGCUGGACUUCACCCCGAGGAAAGGGGCUCAGCCCCGCAAUCCCUCACCUCCUCAGGGCGGCCCAGGCUCCAGACCCAGCUACGGACUCCGGGACUGGCAGGAGCUGAGCUUACUUCUGGAGUGAGGUGGCCCAGGGGUGAUGUGUAGAGAAAGGGGGUGACAUUAGGAAUGGGCCCCAUUCACCGGCAGACCCUGCAACGGGGCAUGCGUGGGAGCGCAGACCCGCCCUCCCGAAGCCUGGGACGGGGUCUCCUCUGUGUGGGGCUGCCCGCUGUGAGGACCUCCUUGGUAGACGCCCACAACCCAGGAAGUCUCCUUUCGCUGGCCUCGGGUCCCACCCACCCUCUUCCUUCCGUUUCAGCUUGUGUGUGUCUCAGGGUCAGCAGCACCUAGCAGAAUGUCCUGCCUGUGCUUCCUCCUGGAGCCCAGGCUGGAGGCUGUGACCACCCGUCCGCUGAGGCAGGAAGCCCCGGCACCCAGGACAGCACCAGGCUCUUCUUACCCACAGACCUGACCCCUGACUGGCAGCAGCGGAAGCCUCCGUCCCUCAGACCCUGCUGCCCAUAGGUGCUCCUAACUCUGGCCCUGCUCUGCUCACCCCCACUGCCUCUUCUGCAGUUGGCUUCAGUCUAGACAGGCCCAGGCGUGCACCCAAUGGUUAGACCUUCCCGUGGGCCUCAGGAGCCGCCCGUGGAAUUUGCCACGUCCUCCAGGAGCCCGCUCCCCGGCCGCUGACUGUGUGCUAACACCGUGGGGACACGGGGCCCAGGCCAGACCUUAAUCCACAGGGAAGAGGAGUCCACGGGGUCCGAGGGUCUGGCCUGGUGGUUGAGACCCCGCAGCCUGCUUCCUGGGACCCAUGCCAGAUCCUCAGACCCUAGGGACGAGCUCCAGCAGGGAAAGGUGGGUUCUGGGGUCAGGCAAUGACUGAGCAGUCCCGCCCCCCCGGAUCCACUUCACUAUCAUACGUCUCCCGAUAGUUCUAGAGACCUGAAUUGGCAGAAGAGAAGAUUAGUCCCUGAGAGAGAUCUGCCUUGAAGUCUCCUUUCCAGGCCCCAAGCUGCAGGCUAUAUAGAUCCCUCCUCGGCACUAUUGGCCCGAAAAGAGAGUGAAAUGCACCUGUAAUUGGGGUUUGUGAGUUGAGGAACUCCCUGGUCUUGCCUGGGACGUCACAUACAGCACCCAACCCCAAAUCUCUAUGUGGUGAACUUGUGCCUUAGACCCACAUGGUUGCCUGGACUAUGGCAGAGCCUUCAUGAUCUGCCUGCAGGGGUCCUCACCUCCACCCCCAUGUACUUCUCCUCAGAACCCGAGGUGGGCCAGAGUGCACACUUUGGGUGUCUCUGAUGUUGCUGGGGGCAAGCUGAGUUCUGCAUCCAGCAUGCCUGCAGGUGGACUUCCUGGGCCACCUCUCUUGGUCACCACUGUGCACUGCUGUGAACCCCAAGCUGUGCGUAACCUUCCCGGACCCAAGAAUUCCCUGUGUCAUAGGCCCAGUGCGCCCUGCCCCCACAGCUACCCUCCUAAUUGGGCAUUCUCCCUGACAGAGUGCCACGCGGCUGUCUUGUUCUCAUUCUCAUUCUGUUGACGUUGGCACAAUCCACUCUUUGAAUCCUAGCGGUUAUAGAGAAGCUGGAGCAGCUGAAAUAGCUCCCAGCCCCUGGGGGCCCUCCAGUAGGUACAGUAAGGAUUGCUCCUGGGCAGAUGGGGAUGGCAGAUGGAUAUGGCCACACUAGCUCAGGCCAAGGCUUGGCCAGGCCCUGAAGUUCAGCUAGUCAGCAUGGGACUAAGCCAGUGUGUGUUGUCAGCGGACUGGGCCAGUCCGGGUGGCGGGAUCAGGAGGGCCCAGAUAACCUACCUUCGGAAGCUGCAGGACUCCACAGGGUUUCCUGACCCAGAACUAUCUCCUCUCAGCUUCACCCACCUGGUCCACACAGUCUGGUUCCUUGUUAACAUGAGUCCAGGCCGCUAAGCCAGUGCCCUGGGUGGCUUCUAUGCUGGUUACCAUUGGAACACAGGCUUCAGACAAACUGAGCAGUACUCGGAGAGACUGUCAAGGCCAAGAGGAGAGGCGUAGCCCAGAUAGACAGGUACAUCUGGCUGGCCAUCUGCUGCUGCCAUUCUUGAUGGUCAUGUUCCCUCUUUGAGACUUAGUUCUUAUCCUUUUAACAUGAGGUAAUAGUGACAACCUCAGUGAAACCAGCAAGGACGGAGGCUCCAGGCUGAGAAACUCCUGUACUUGCUUAGGCCCUAAGACCCUGUCUCCACAGUGCCAGGAGACUGGGCUCUAGUCACAGUCUAGAAAGGCCAGGACCAGGGCCAGGCACAUGCUAUGUUUGGGCAAUUCUAGCACCAGCCUCCUGUUGCCAAGUUUCCCAUCUCUUGGGGCUGAGAUGUCAACAGGUUUUAAAGAUUAUUUGUGUGUGUGUGUGUGUGUGUGUGUGUGUGUGUGUGUGUGUGUGUAUCUCUGUAUGUGUACACAUAAAUAUAGGUAGCCAAGGAUGCCAGAAGUUAAAGGUAGUUCUAAACCUGUGAUGUGGAUGCUGGGACCUGAACUCAUGCUCCCUGGGAGAGCAGUACACAAAUCAGUAAAAACCAUCUAACCAUCCCGAUUUCAACACACUUGAUAUAUUUUGGGGUUCCCCCAGCAUGUGCCCCCUGGCCAAGCCUAAUUAUUACCUAGACCCCUACAUAUAUGACUUCCUUCUGUUACCAAGCAGCCUGUCCUAAACCCAGCCUGGACUCCAUCAACCCAGGACCCUCACCCAAGCAUAGCUCCUGCCUGGGGUCCCUACGAUGGGUCCCAGUCCCUAGGACCCCAGCUUCCUUCAUGAGUACCCAGCUGCUUGAGAAGGCAUUCCUCCGACAUGCUAGUUCCAGAAAGCAACCUUGUGCUAGAAUUUGUUGUCCUCCAGAUGCUGCUGGCCUUUACCUCUGAGUCCAUAAAGAUGGUUAAAAAGAUGGACCCCGCUCUGCAACCUCCCAUCCUCAGGGACAUAGGUCAGUUUCGUCCCCAUUGUGCUCUGAUGAGGAAACCACCCCAAGGCUUGGGAGAUCCAGCAGCCUUGGCCCUCGUCUCUGGCAGUAUCCAGCCUGACCUUGGGGUCCCUGUUAUCAGGAUGCUCCGGCAGCAGCAUCUCUGCAGCCCCAGCUCAAAGCUUUUCUACCGCGUGAUGAUUGCCACCGCUUACAUUAGAAUUAGAAGCUGCUGCUGAGACAGGCAAACCCCGCCUACUGGACAGCACCUAAGCUGUAGAUUUCAGAGGAGUGCAGGCCUAGCCUGGAGAAGUGGCCACAUCCAGUCAGACUCUGGAAGUGGGCAGUGACCUCAUGCUGGCCCACAGCACAGCGAGAAAGUUCAGAAACAAGGCUCCUGUCCAAGAGUUGAGACCCCUGCUGGGAUUAGGGGAAAAAAUCAUCCAGAAAUAGUCAUCCUGGUGCUGGGCACCUUGUGGUGUGGCAGGAGGGGACCAGCCAUGGUCAUCAGAAGCAUUUACAGGGGAUCUGGGGCUUGUAGAGGGGGCAGCUGUGCCACUGGGGACUCACAGAAGUCCAGCCAUCCUCUUCCUCACCCCUGUGGGUCUCCUGGGGAUAACACCUGUGCAGAUGGAGGAUGUCGGGCCAGGGACCCACAGCAGCCCUGCCUGGCAGACUCUACUUCUCCCAUCAAAGCAGGGACCUGAAUUCUUUUUACCAGAAAGUGGGGUCUUGAGGCAAUGAGUAGCUGAAGGCCCUGCUUCUGUCCUUCCAACCUCCAGGCUCAGGCCCCAGGACCUUUCAUAAGGCAUCAUAAUAGCCCGGUCAGGACUUCUAGAUCAGUGGUUCUCAACCUCCCUAAUGCCACGACCCUUUAACACAGUUCCUCAUGUGGUGACCCAACCACAAAAUUAUCUCCAUCGCUACUUCAUAACUGUAAUUUUGCUACCGUUAUGAAUCGUGCUGUAAAUGUCUGUGUUUUCCGAUGCUCUUGGGCAACCCCUGUGAAGAGACCAUUUGACCUCUGGUUCAGAACCGCUGUUCUGGGUGGUAUGGUGGCUGGGAGGGUUCUCAGUGGUGGGAGUUGGCAGAGAAUCUCUGGCAAGUCCCUCGGAUGCCACAGUGUGUGUGGAGUCAGAGGACACUUGCAGUGGCUGGUUCUCUUUUGCCAUCACGCCGGUCCCGGGGACCAAACCCGGGUCGCCAGGCUUUUCAACAGCGCUGCUGGCAGCGGAUCCGUCUCGCAGGCCCCAGCGCCGUUGUUUCAGAUGGAGCGAGUGCUUACCGUGUGUGCAUUCGGUCGAGGGAGACUUUGUACUGCCUUCUCCGGACAGGGCUGAGCUGGGGAGGGUCAGGGCGUCCAAACACUGGCCCCCUUGGCAUCCCCAGCACCCCUCCUGGUCUUUGUCUAGCUAGUUCCUCCCUGUCCUUUCUACCUGCUCCCUGAGUCCGUCCCCACACGGCCUCUUCAACCUCCUCUGCCUCCACACCCAGUUCCUCCCUGGUGGACCUUACGCUGCCCGCUCACCCCGCUGCAACCUCACACCUUGCAAACCACUGCUCUCUCCCAGAGUGCCAGUGACGGGCCAAAGGGACACAGAUGUGGCUGGGGGGGACUGUGGUCCUGCCUCAGCAGCCUGCUCUGCCUGCCCUACACUGGCUCAAGACCGCCCUUCCUCACUGGCAACCAAAGGCUGGCUGCAUCCAUCACCCAAGAGGCAGCUCCCCCACGCUGACUGUAAACAGCUAGUAGCUUCGUGAAGAGGAAAAUAAAUUGUUUUAACAGCA